AGCUUAUCUUUCAUGUAAUACCAUUGCUACCUCUAUUUUGAAUUACAAAAAUGUUACUCCCUCGCAGGAAUUUUCUUUUUUAUUUUUUGUUGUAGAAAGAUAGAGCCGGAAGCAGAAACAUAACUGGGACGUUUCCGGUGAAAAAGGAGUCGGUAGAACAUUAUGAGGAAAACCGUGGAUCGAUAGGUGUUCAAUAGGACACAUAGGAGCAGGCUUCAAGGAUCGGACAAACACUGGUGAAACUAAAAAGGGAUCAACGAAAAAUGGAAAGAGAACUAGCUUGCACUUCUGUGGAACCGUCGAACGAGCCGUCAAAUGACACGCGACUGAUUGCCUUUGCGUCUCAUUGAGAACCGACUGAACCUGAGUGAAGCGAACUGGAGCUCUUUUUCUUAGUCUAAAGCGUUUCUCUAGACGCGUCAUCAACACCUUGAUCUUCGGAAGACUCCUAUACGAAAUAGUAACUCAUUCCAAAUCGUUUGUUUACUGAAUCAAACACAUUCAGAACUCCGUGGCCCAACACCUUGAAAUUUCGUCAAGUAUUGCUUUCACCGACUGACCCUGUUCGAUAACGCCGCUCGAGUGACAAUGUAUGAUAUGCUAGUCGAAUCGUCUUAUAGUUUAAGAUCCACACCGUAGGAUAAUUCGUUAAUACCCCUAUUUCUCCGCUGCAUUUCUAAUCUAUAAUUUACGACAGUAUCCUGUACAUUGUAUCCGAUACAUUCAAACGUCUGAAAGAUCGUUAAAGCAAAGAAGACGGCCGUCGGUAGCAACGAAACAUCGGACCACUACACGGGACAACACCAAAAUUGUGUCGGAUUCUGUGGUGUUCCCAGCGAUCUCUAGCAGCCCCUUGGAGGAUCUGCAUCCGAUCCUUGAUCCCUUCGUGUGUUUUCUGCCCAACAGCAACAAGGCCGUUAAUAACCGCCGUACAGCUAUGCCGCGUCUGCGUUGAUUCAGAAAACACGUGUCGCCUACGGCUAAUGAGUGAAACUGCAGGACGUCACUAUCACCCUGACAAAAUACUGAAAAAAACUCGUAUGAUUCCUAACAGAUGACAUAGCGUGCUCUAAUGUGUU